GAAAGAUUUUGUGUUAUCGAUAGCGCCCACUACAGUGCUGUACCUCUGAUAAGCACACAGUAAACUUAAAUUUUUAAAUUAGUAUUUAUUUAUUUUUAAUUAUUGUUAUUAAUUUGUCAAGGUCAGCACUGUGGCAUAGCAGGUGAAGCCGCUGCCUGUGGUGCCAGCUUCCCAUAUGGGCGCUGCUUCAUAUCCCAGCUGCUGUUCUUCUGAUCCAUCUCUCCUACAGCCUGGGAAAGCAGUAGAAGACAGCCCAAGUGCUUGAGGCCCUGCAACCACAUGGGAGACCCAGAAGAAGCUCCUGGCUCCUGGCAUCAGAUCUGCCCAGCUCUGGCCAUUGUGGCCAUUUGGGGAGUGAACCAAUGGAUGGAAGACCUCUCUCUUUGUCUUUCCCUCUCUUUGACUGUAACUCUACCUUCCAAAAAAUAAAUAAUUUUUUUUUAAAAUUAUUUAAUUGUUUUGAUUUGAAAGAUACACUCACAGAGAUAGACAGACAGAUAGAAAUCUUCCAUCUACUGAUUGAGUCCCCAAUUGCUUGUAACAGGUAAAGCUAGGCCAGGCUAACCUCAGAAGCUUGUAAUUCAAUCCAGGUCUCCCAUGUGAGUGGCAGGGACUCAUGUAGUUCAAUUAACACCUGCUGCCUCCUGAGGUGCAUGUUAACAGGGAAGCUGGAAUUAGAAAUGGAGCUGGGCCUCAAGCCUAGGCACUGCUAAAUGAGAUGUAAGUAUCCCAAGCAGCAUCUUAACCGCACUCCACACAAUCAAGCUUUGUUACAUGAAUAAAAGGACGAAUGGAUGGAAUUUGGCCUAUUCUUCUGAAGAUUUUCAGUGGAAAUUAAGGAUUGAACUGACAUUAUACUAUGGACAGAAAGAAUCUCUUAGCAUUGUUUUAUCUUUUUUUUUCUGCUCCAGAAUGAAAAAUGAAAGGAAGAGUCAUGUUAUUUGAGCUCUCUGAAAUACCUGAGAUGCCUGAACAGUGCCCUUCUACUUAUCAUGGCCAUGUUAGUGAACAACUUGUUCAGGAAUACAGAGUGAGGAUCUCUCAUGUCAUGAGUGGCAGCAGUGAUGAGGGAGAAAGCCUGCUCAUCUCUGCCCUCAGCAAUAAUGCACAUAGUAUUCAACAGCAAUCUCCCCUCCAUGUCUCCCAGUGCUCUAUGUCAUACCAGAUUUGCAGAUGAAGCCAAGAAACAAGAGGUUCUUAACAUCUCCAGCCAUUUUCAGGUGACAAGGAGACUCCUUUAGGGACCAACUUGCUGUAGCAGAGCAGACAUCAGCCUGUGCCUCACCAAUGUACAGCUGGAGGCAUAUGCACCUAUUGGGAAAAGGCAAAGUGGCUGUUGAUGACACUGGGAUAGCUUUCCCUGGGCAAGAGCUUGAGGCUUCAGAAUUCAUGGAUGUGAUGGACUGUGGCCUGGGCUUGGCAUUUACCAUGAACAUGGUCAUUUGCUUUACUUGAUUGUGCCUCAGUUUUGUGGCUGAAAACUUUGAGCCCAUGAGAGGUGGACAGAGGAAGAAAGAGAUGACAACAAAAAAGAGAGGAGAUACAAGCAUUGCCUAGUAAGUCUUUUCUUUAGUAAACUUAAAAUCACAUUUAGAACAUUGAAUUAAGUAGAGCACUGUUAUCAUUUUGGAGUGACGCCACAGGAGCAUUUUAAAAGGAUUCAGAUAUGGAAUUUUCUGCCAGGUGCACGACUGCUUAGAGAGGUCUAAAUGUACAGCAGCCAUCAAUCCCUGUUCCCUGCUUAACCUCCCUGCCUGCCACCUCCUCCACUAUUGCACUGCUCUUCCUGCCAGGUCUCCUUGCCUGUGUAGAGAUUAAGCCAAUCUCUCACUUUCCCAGCUCCCCUCAUGGGAUUGUCAUAAAACUUAAUUAAAUAUUGUUCAUAAAGCAUUCUGCUGCUCAGGUGUCCCUGGAUAGAAUGCAAAGCACAAUAUUAUUGUGAUUAUUAUUAAUUAGGAUGAUUCUUGUCUGAGGCAAGGGAAUUUUCCCAUCAGCUUGAGAGUUCUGCUCUGACCUUUAGUUUGGCACAGAGAAUUUACAGUUGAGAUGGCUGAACUAUAAUCUUUGAGCUUAGAGGACUCUUGAGAAAGCAAGAAAGAGCCACAAAAACAGAAGAUCUAGAGUUGCCAGGCUGAUUUUUAAGAGGAAUUUACAAGCUAUCAAAGUCUUUUAUUCUAGUACUUGUCUUCCACAAAUAAUCAACACUGUUUAUUAAAGGGC
rnacentral:lncRNA from 1 species